ensembl:lncRNA
GUGGGGGAGGGGAGAAUGAUGAUGACUCUGAGUCUGGAAUUUCCCCGCAGUCUCAUUUUUAUAUAAGAAGUUGUUGAAAUAAACCCGCCUUGGGGGGAAGAUAACGAAUCAAACUGACUGACAACUGACUGAGUGUUUAUGCUGCUCUACUGACCUCUCUCCACACUGCUCUCGCUCUCUGAACAGACUUUUCAGCUGUAACACAGAAAGGAGACACAAACAAGCACAAACAGGAAGUAAAUACUAUAACACUUGUUCUGAUGAAGUGUUUAGGAGUGUUACUAUGCACACGGUGCAGCACCUGCUCGGUGACCAGCCUCCUCUGUUGGUUCGGAUCUACAAGACAAACAUCAGUCAGUACCUGCUGGGGAGGUUCAAGAUCCUGCAGGUCUCGUUCCCGCUCAAGCGUUUCUGCUCGCCUUCUGCUUUCUGGAGCCAAAACAUAAAAACCAAAAGCUGCUCCAGCCUCUGGACCUCACCGCUCUGUUGUGACUCCUGCACAAAAAAAAUCAUAUCUCUGUUAUGGCAUCAGUCAUCCAAGAGGACACAGAUCUCUGGCAGGUUUGCAGGUCCCACCUGAUGGCGAGCAGACCGCAGCUCCUGUAGCUGUUCCUCCAGCUCAGUGUCUCUGAUCCUCAGCAUGUCCCUCACCUUCAGCAGCUCCGCCUUCACCUGCACCAACUCUCCAUCCACGACUUCAAGAGACACCUUGGACGUGACAUUUUUAACGUUGACAUUGUGACCAAACAGCUCUUUAAAUGCAUAUUAUAUAUUUAUUCAUGAGGGACUUUUUGACUACAUACAGAGCUACCCAUGAGUCUCUCCUGCACUUGGCUUGGGUCCCUCUCAGGCUCUAUCUGUUGUGAAAUUUCAGGCUCUCGCUGUAAGACAACGUAAAGAGACAAUAAUAUACAACACAGUAACACUACACUUGACAAAUGGUCACAUUAGACCAAUGAAAGGAAACAAAAGUUACGUUGUCAUUCACUCGUUGUUGACUCUUGAGCUCAUCGAGUUCUGCUUGCGUCGAGCAUAACGUCAUCGCCACAUCCAGCCACCUCUCAUUCCAGUGAGCAGCCAGUUUCCUCAACUCCUCCUUUUCCUGCUCAAACCCCGCCCUCAUUUGCUGUUGCUCCUCCUCUUUAUGCUUAUACCCCGCCUCCGAGAUUUGGACUUUUUUUUCCAGGUCUUGACAUUUUAAUUGCAGCGUCUGAUUUUCUUGUUCUAGAUUGUCCUGCCGUUCUCUGUAUAUAUGGAAUUAAUAACCUGGAUCAGAGCCAAAAAUAAUCUGCACAAUCAAUAUUAAUAAUCAUUUCCAGGCAACACUGAAGUUCGACCUGUGCUGGCAGCAUCUCUCUCCCAGCUCUAUCAUCUUCUCAUGAAGUCCAUCAUCAAAUGUUUUCCUCAGUUCCUCUUUCUCUCCUAUCAGCUGCAAGCGCUCAGUCUCCAGUGCCGCAAUCUGAUUGGUUUGGAUCAGUUUCUCCGCCUCCAGCUCGUGUAGCUGGUUAAGAGUCACCUGUAGUCGCUCUGUAGCUUUGGUCAGAUCAGAUGACAGCUUUUCGUUCAACUGAAAUUCCAAAGUAUUCAGAAAAAGGUUGUUCAGAACAAUUCAGAACAAACUAAAAAAAUAAAAGGGUUUUAUUGAAAGCCAAUCAAAUAACUUUUUUUUUUUAAAUAUAAUUAUAUAAUAUUUAUAAUAUUAAUGUUAUUAUUUUCUAAUGCUAUGACUUUAAACAGUCUUUAAAAUAAUAUAAUUUCACCUGAUAAUAUAAUAUAAUAUAAUAUAAUAUA